rnacentral:rRNA from 1 species
ACGAACGCUGGCGGCGUGCCUCAUCCCUGCCAGUAGAACGCUGAAGGAGGAGCUUGCUUCUCUGGAUGAGUUGCGAACGGGUGAGUAACGCGUAGGUAACCUGCCUGGUAGCGGGGGAUAACUAUUGGAAACGAUAGCUAAUACCGCAUAAGAGUAGAUGUUGCAUGACAUUUGCUUAAAAGGUGCAAUUGCAUCACUACCAGAUGGACCUGCGUUGUAUUAGCUAGUUGGUGAGGUAACGGCUCACCAAGGCAACGAUACAUAGCCGACCUGAGAGGGUGAUCGGCCACACUGGGACUGAGACACGGCCCAGACUCCUACGGGAGGCAGCAGUAGGGAAUCUUCGGCAAUGGACGGAAGUCUGACCGAGCAACGCCGCGUGAGUGAAGAAGGUUUUCGGAUCGUAAAGCUCUGUUGUAAGAGAAGAACGAGUGUGAGAGUGGAAAGUUCACACUGUGACGGUAUCUUACCAGAAAGGGACGGCUAACUACGUG